UUUGCAAGAGGCAUACAGUGUUUUGGUGGGGGUAUUACAAAGGAAGGGUCUAUGUAUAGCUCCAGUAAAGGUUCAACAAGACGAGGUAGUAAAUUAUUUAGGGUCUAAAAUAACAUAUAAUCAAAUUAUACCACAAAAGGUAGAAUUAAGAAAAGAUCAUUUGCAUACAUUAAAUGAUUUUCAAAAAUUAUUUGGAGAUAUAAAUUGGAUCAGGGGCAGUUUGGGCAUGGCAAAUUAUGAGUUAAAACCGUUGUAUAAUAUUUUAGUUGGUGAUGUAGCUCUAGAUUCUCCCAGACAAUUAACCAGUGAAGCUCAACAAGCACUUUCUCUUGCAGAGGAAAAAUUAUCAAAGCCUUUUUAAAACGGGUGCAGGCUGAAAAGGAUAUUGCUUUAUGCAUUUUACCCACUAAUCUACAACCCACGGGUAUUCUGUGGCAGAAAGGACCAUUACUUUGGAUUCAUCCCAGGAUUUCCCCCGCGAAAUCCAUAGAAUAUUAUCCUAUGGAUGUUACCCAUCUCUCUGAGUUUGGCAAGGUAAAACACGUACAUGUCUCCGUAGAUACAUGCUCCGGCAUUAUCCAUGCCACACCCAUGACAGGUGAAAAGGCAACCCAAGUGAUUGCUCAUUGUCUAGAAGCGUGGGCCGCCUGGGGAAAACCCCAGCAACUGAAAAUAGACAAUGGUCCUGCUUAUAUGGGACAAAAGUUCACCUCCUUCUGCCAACGCAUGGGUGUUCAACUCAUACAUGGACUGCCUUAUAACCCACAAGGCCAAGGCAUUGUAGAGCGUGCUCAUCGCUCCUUAAAGGAAUUACUUCAAAAACAAAAAGGGGGAGUAGGUCAUCAACAGACACCCAAGAAUAGACUUUCCUUAGCCUUGUUUACACUUAAUUUUUAAAAUUUGGAUAAUACCAAUUAGUCUGCGCGGACAGGCAUUCUUGCCCAUCCAGUCCUUUAAAAGGACUGAUAAAAUGGAAGGACGCUCUGACAGGGGUCUGGCAUGGUACUGAUCCUGUGCUGGCUUGGGCACGAGGCUCUGUUUGCGUUUUUCCACAGGAUCAUUUGGACCCUAUUUGGGUACUGGAGCACUUGGUGAGAAAAGUACAAGUGCAGAAGAACGACAAGCAAGAUGAAGCCUCAGACUGUGAUCCUACUGAUGAUUGGCUGAGAAUUUUACAAGAACGGUAACCUGAGCCAGCAGCUAAGCGCAUACCUCCAGGGAAACUGGAGCAAGGAGUUCAAGAACCUGACGGACACCUUGAUCAACCAGAUUAUUUCCCUGAAUGCCACACGGCUGGAAUUACCUACUGCUAAUGCUUUUCUUAAUAUGCUGAAACGGACUUUUAGUUAUCUUAAGGAGUGGGAGGAAAUAGGAGCCCUGACAGGCCUAAUGGUGCUUGCCUCCCUGGUAUGUCUGUGGUGCAUUUGUCGCAUGAGGGCCUCACAACGUCGCAAUGCAGCAAUGAUCAUUCAAGCCUUCACGGCUAUUGAAGCAGGACAGUCCCCCCAAGUUUGGUUAACUACUUUAAAAGAUAUAUAAGCACAGGAUCCGAGGCUUGUGCACUGCACUUGAGGGUAAUUACAUCUACCUCAAAAAGAGCAAGUCUGAUUGCAUGUGGGUUGGUGCCUAACUCCCACCUCUGUAAAAAGGGCACCAAGCGGGUCUAGCGUGUUCUGGGUGGAGGACACCUGGAUAAACAAUAGAACAUGCUUCAUUUUUAACAGAGAUCAGACCUCUACUCUUGCCUGUUG